CUUACACCUCUAUUGGGACUUACACACCCUGGGAGGUAUGGCAGGGUGAUCUUCCUCUCCCCACCCAGGGACAGUAUUUUGCUCCAGGCUGAGGGGAUCCUGCAGACCCACUGAGCCUUGCGUGAAAUGAGAUUUGUGGAGCAUGUAAUGCCUCUCGGUAUGGAGCUGUUUCUAAUUGUAAGGUGCUUGAAUACAAGAAUUCAAGAUGGGCAGAUUGACUGUUCACCAACUAGUCUGAAAGGUGGUCAGAGGCUGAGAAGUGAAACUAAGGUCCUUUGAAAUGAUGGUCACCAAGGAGAUCAAUAAGAUGGGAAGAAAGAGAGUAUAAAUGAAUGUGUGAACAAUCUUCACUAUAACACAAGCAGCUCCCAAGACACUUCAUGCUGGGAGCAGAUGGGGUCAGCCAGAGCUGGCUGUUCAAUUUUUGUACUCCCGAAGGCUUGCUGUCCUCUGAAUGGACCAAGAAGUCUGUUUAAAAUUAUAGAAAAAAUAUGCAGGUCUCCUGAACAAUAAGGUUAAAAAAGAGACAUAUGGUGAGAUAGAAACUCUGAAUAAUUCCACUCAAAACUUAAAGUCAGUUUAAAUUGAAAAUGCUUCAAACACCUACAUGCUAAUAAUGAACAGAAAGAAAGAGAAAACAGUCCAUUGAAACUCAAACGUCAGCCUCCACAUGGGAGAAAGUUCCUCACCUGACUGAAUCUGUGAGCCUAAGACCUGCCUCAUCGACGCCUUUGAAGAACAACACACAUUCUUCACGGAGAAACCCUUAUCUGUAAAGAAACAUUGGCACAGUGUCGAAUGUUGUUAUGUUAAACGUAACAUUGUGUUAAAACCCAUUAAUGGAGAAAAAACAUGCUUUUCUGUCAGGGAAGUAUGUGAACUCUCUGCUUCCCAUGUGAAACUCUGGUGGUGGAUAUUGGGAAGGAACAGUCCUCACUCUGAGCACUGUGUCUCCCCCAUCCAGCCUCCCCUCUGCCCCUUGCCCACACACACAAACACAACAUUCUUAAUAGUAGAGGGAAUUCAGCAUUCACCUAGUUUAAAAAAUACAGUUGUCAACAGGAAGCUGGAGGAAAACAUUCAUGAAGAAAAAAAAAAACUCUCCUUCCACCUAACCCCCACCCCCAUCCCACCUGCCCCCCACAAUGAGGGAUUAAAGCUUCUGUCUUUGGGACUUUUAUGGUUUCAGAUCAUUCAACUUGGUCCUGAGCUCUCCGAAAAAUUGUUCUAACUACCCAAUCUGCUCUAUGGGAAAAUAAAAUUUCUCUCAUCACUUCUUAGUUAUGUGACUUCAGGCAACUAACUCGCAGCUCUUUGUAACUCAUUUCAUCACCUGUAAAACAAGGAUAGAAAGAGUAUCGAAUUUAUGGGUUUGUUGCGGUAAGUAAAUGUACUUAUAUAAUUAAAUUGAUGGGAAAAGUAGCUGGCACAUGAAGUCUUCUAUAAAUAAGAACAUACGGGCAAAUCUAGUAGACAAUUCUUUCCAGGACUGAGAAUUAUAAUAAAUUAUGUUUUUACUUAAUAAUUAAUUGAAUUACAUUUUUUAAAGAAAAAAGUCACACAGUCAACAUGAGUAUGUUCGAUGACUAGAAGACUCUUUGCUAGAAAUUUCUCACCACCAUGUGCUAGACCACCCACAUAAAUCAAAGGAAGUGCCAUCAUCACACUAAGUCACUCAUAAAAAUGCAAAUAUGUCUAGCAGUGCUAAGUGGUGAAAUUCUGUUCUGUUGAAGACUAAAGGUUUAUUUUAUUUGGACAGACAAGACCAAUAUUAGCUCAUUUAACAAAUAUUAGAAUACCAAAAUAGACAAAAAUCAUUAAGAGAACGAUAUAACUUUGUGUACAAUCAAAAAUGAAUGAGUAAGAGCCUACCUUUACCUCACUAUCUUCCAUUUCUCCCUUUUCUCUGCAAUCUUGACUAACUUGAAAACCGAAGCUUUUAUAUUAAACACAAUCCAGAACAUUGAUAAAAUGGAUCUUCCAGAGUUCUGAAAAAUGAAGAGUUUCACAAAAAUGAUUGUAUAUUAAGGGAAGAGAAAGAAUUAGGAGUACCAACUUUGUCCAGAAAACACGAGUCAGCCUCAGGACAAAAUUUUGUGGGAGGUAACAGCAUCUUACACUUUCACUGCAGACACUCGGACCCAGGCCUGAAUCCCUGAGGACUUGAAACAGCUUAAUAAAAAAAUUGGAUAAUGAAAAUUGAGAAAACUUGCGGGAAUUAUUAGACCAUGUGGAAUAAAGUAUCCAUUUUUGUUAAAGGAAAAUUUCUACUGAUGGACAACUGCUCUUAUCCAAGCAUAGAACACAUAUAUCAGGUGAAUUUUGAAAUCCCUUUUGGUCUUAUAAUGCAAUAAUAUUGACAUAUUUUUCUUAAAACUGUGUAUUUGUAUUAGUGCAAUUGCAAUUUGAAAAUAACCUUCACAUAAAUUUUUUUUUGCUUCCAUAUACUUUCUGUGAUUUAUGUAAGGUAAAUAUUAUUAGCCUUAUUUUGUAAAUGAAAACACUCAAUGUCAGUAGUUUGAAUGACUUGUACAGCGUUGUAAAUGUGUGUUUAUCAAAAUGUGUAUCUAUCUUUUAUUAUUUAUUCUCACAUUUUAUUUUUAAUCAACUAUAGCUAUUAACACAAAGCACAGGAUACAUUUAAAAACUGUCAAAUAAACAAAACAUGUACCUUUUAAUUCUAAGAACCAUCUUUUAAGUAGGUUUGCUCUUACUUGCAAAUAGAUACUUGCGAGCUUAAAAGAGAAAGAAAACCAAGGUAGAUCAAGAGAUAAAAAUAAUUUUUCCUUCCUUAGAAAUCAGUGACAACCAACCAAAAUUUAUGAAAUUAAUAACCCUUGAAAGUUUCAAUUGUCCCCCUACUGUGGACAUUUGCAGUUAUUGACAUUUCAGCCUAUGUGGCCCGAGAAACUUUCUUCCUAGGCUUUAAAAAAUGCAAAGAGAAAGAAUUCACCAGUGGGCGACUGCGACUGGACCAUUAGAUUUAUUUCUGAUAGGCUUGGUUUUCUGAAGCACAUAUCAUAAAACUUUUUACACAGCGUUUUCAUUUGAACAUCAGAUUAAAAUUAGUACUUAGAAAACAUUCUUGGCACUUUUCUUAUUUAAGACAAACCUUGCAAGAUAUCGUGUUUUGAGGAUUUAGAAUAAUCUAAUUUCUAUACUGUUUUUCUUAUUCUUAUAUUUUCUAGUAUGUCUGGUUAUAUACAAAUUACUAAGUCCAUGGCAUCUAACCAGGAGUAGCCGUGGUAAUCACUUGUGGAACUUCUUCAGACAUGUAGGCAAAGAAACUAUCUCAGCUCUACAAAACCAGACUUUCUGAAGGACAGAAAUUUUACAUGUACUUAAAAAACAAAAACAACAAAAAAGACACUUCCCCAGUUAUUUCUGUAUUUCUGAUAUGUAUUAAUAUUAGUUAACAAAAAUGUUGGUACACAGUACAGACAUUAAAUAAAUAUUUUCAGGUAAGUAAACAAAUACUCAGCUUUGAUGGCAAAUCCAAUUUUCCCACCAGAUUCCCCUUAGGGAUUGGAUAACAAGCAGUUCUCAGACCUCAGCCUGACUACGCCUGAGCCUGCCCAGCGCUACUGUGCUGGUCCAGAAGUGGGGGGAGAAAUCUCCCCAAGCAUAUCCUUAGAGGAAAGCACUACCCUAGACAUAUGAUGUUCCAGGAGAUGAAGUUGAGUGUACGUGUUCUGCAGUAGCAUUUAUUCUUUUUAAAUUGAUUUAUUUUGUAACAUCAAUAACAUAAAGGGGAGGGGGGAAGUAGAAGUGCAGAUUUUGUAUGUGACAGAAAUUGUUAUCAGCCUAGAAUGUAGUUAUAGCUGUAAGACGGUUUAUGUGUGUUGCAAGGAAUAAUUAUGUCACUUAAAAAAUGGAUUUUUAAUGAUUAGUCGGGUGCAGACACAGAAUAACACCAUGGAGAGGUGCAGGAAAGUGAAAGAGAUGUAUUAUACUCACAAGUCCUAGAAGAAGGAAGCACAUAUGCCACUCAGGGUCCAUAUGAGAGGAGCUCCAGGUGAGUGGGCUCAACAAAGCAGGUGAGGAGCUGAGAGAUUGAGGACCAUGGGUAAGUGCCUUUAUUGGGAGUCAAGGGGGAGAUUUCAAUGGCACAUUUGAACGUCACUAGGUCACAGUCAGGGGAGGGCAAGAAGAGGAACUUAAGACAGGGACCAGCCUUAUUGCACUGUUGUGUGUAGUCACUUGGUGCUUACAGCCUGUUUGUGGGGAUGUUGAGGCACCAGGGAAAAUAUGAAAUUUUCGAGAUUUACAGUACGGCAAGCCCCAUGGUAACCACACACAAAAAAUACAUACAGAAGAUACACAAAGAAAAAGAGAAAGGAACCAAAGAAUAUUACUACAAAAAAAUCAGCGAAACAGAAAGGAAGACAGCAAGAGAGGAAAAGAGGAACAAAACAACUACAGAAACAGACAGAAAAUGAUUAACAAGUGUCAAUAGUAAGUCCUUCCCUAUCAAUAAUUACUUUUUCAGGGAGUGAGGGGGUGGAUGAAAUGGGUGAGGCUGGUCAAAAGGUACAAACUUCUAGUUAUAAAAUAAAUAAGCCUUGGGGAUGAAAUGCACAGGAUAGUGACUAUAGCUAAUGAGGAAAAAAAUUACUUUAAACUUAAAUGAGUUAAACUCCUCAAUCAAAAGGCACAGUGUCUGAAUGGGUAAUAAAAUAAGACCCGACUAUAUGCUUCUAUAAAAGACUCACUUUAGAUUUAAGGUUAUGCCUAAGUUGAAAGUGAAAGGGUGGAGAAAGCUAUUUCAUACAAACGGUAAAAUAUAGUGAGCAAGUGUGGCUAUACUUAUAUCAGACAAAAUAGACUUUAAGUCAAAAACUGUUACAAGGGACAAGGAAGGGCGUUACAUAACGAGAAAGGGUCAAUUCAUCAAAAGGAUAUAACAAUUAUAAAUAUAUGUGUACCCAACAUCAGAGCACCUAAGUAUGUAAGCCAAAUAUUAACAGAACUGAAGGGAAAAAUAGACAAUAAUACAAUAAUAGUAGGAGAUGAAAUCUGCAGUAGCAUUUAGUUUAAAAGCUUAUGUCAAGUUUGUGUUGUUUGAGAAUUACUGUGACCAACUCUAGAUUUAUUUAAACAAAUAUUCAAAAUUAAAAUGAUCUACUCAAUUAAUUCUAUGUCACCAAUAUCAAUAUCUAUUCAUUGACUUUGAUUUUGUCUUCUUAAGAUCUAAUAUUUUACAAUGUUUCUCUUUCUGUGUUUUACCAUGACAGAAAGGGCUCUGUUUGUCUUAGAAUAUUUUUUGUUUUCAUCCCUGAAGGAUGCAGCUUCCUUUCUCCUAUUCAUUUUCGAAAACUCAAUUCUGAAAUUAAGAAAAAAUGCAUGUGACUGAUAGACUCUUCUUUUUAUGAACAUACAUAAAGCAUAAUGCAGCUGAAGGGGGGUAUAUAUAUACAUCUAGAGAAUAUAAAUCUUUCCAUGUUCAGGAGAAAUGAAAAGAUGUCUCUGAGUAUGUAUCUUUCAAUUUUUCUUAGCAGCUUAUAAAAUAUUAAUUUAAAAUACUAAUGAGAAUUAUUAACAUUGUGCUACCAGGUGGAGGAUAACUCAUGAAAUGUGUGCUCAGUUCCUUUAGGAAAUCAUGAAAUCCAACUACUUGAAGGAAGGUAAAAGAAGGCUACUGAAAAAUCAUAAUCAGAGCAGACAAGUUGUCUGUUAUUGAAACGUAAGAUUUUUAAGGCUAGAAAAAACUAACAUUUGAAAGUUUCAAGUAGUUUCUGUCAUGUUGGGUAGAAAAUAAAUUUUGACUUCAGGAUAGGCCUUCCUUUUCUGGAAAGAGUUCAUUUGUCAAGCAAAUUAUUCAUUUAUUUAUUUAUUUAUAUUUAUUAUUCUGUUCACCUUCUGUUCAGGAAUAUGAAUUGAGUAUAGCUGCAGAAUUCUUCUUCUAGAAGCUAGGAAAAUUUUAUUGUCUAAAUCUGGAUUUUGGCUACCCAUUGGCUGAAAAUCAUUGUGUACUCUUGGCAGAUUUUUGUGUAUUCUUACACAAAAAGAACUUAUCACUUGAAAUCAGGACCAGAGCCAGUGGAGGAAAAAUGAUGGACAAAGAAUUGAACUCACCUUGGUGCAGGAGAUCCUGAAUUCUUUUAUUGUUGUCCUUUAAGACUAAAUAAAUUAAUUUUGUAAAAUUAAUUAUUGUGAUUUUUCUUGUUUGGGAACAAAAGCUCACAUUUUUAAAGAUGAUUGGGGAGUCUCCGGUCCUGAUCUCAAGUGAUGAAUUCCAAACUCCAAAUGCACAUUAUUUAGGGCAUGAUCUCAGAUCACAUUUUAGUCAAGCAGUGAAGUGAUAACAAUUAUUUAUAUUUAAAAAAUCCUCAAAUGUGAAGAUAUUAAACAACUCACUUAUAAACAACUCAUAGCUCAUGGAUCAAAGAUGUCACAAUGGAAAUAAGAAAUUAUUUAAACCGACAUGUAAGGAACAUAUAACGUCUCAGUACCUUUGGCAUGUAACUAAAGAGAUACAUAGAGAAUAAUGUAUAGCCUUUAAUGUACGCAAAAGAAAAGAAUAAAAGGGAGAAUUCAUGUUCCAAGUAUGUGUUUUAAGAAUCAGGAAACCAAUAACAAAUUAAAUAUAAUGAACAGAAGCAUGGAAAUAGCAAAGCCCAAAACAGGAUUAAAUGUGUUAGGAAUCAAACACACACCAGCAUCAACAAUAUCGAAUAUUAGUAUUUGAAGAGAUUAAUAAGCGUGACAAGACUAGUCAAAGACAAAGAGAGAAAGAGAGGAGAGAGAGGAAGAA
ensembl:lncRNA